UUGAAGGCACAGAGUGUAUGUGUGGGUACAACUGACCAAGUUCACCCAUAUGCUCAAGUUAUUAAUUAAUAUUCUUCUCAUCAGCAUAGUUCAAGACAAGCGAGUUACAAGCAGCCAAUAAAUAAUUGAGUCUUGACCAGACAAACCAGUGAUUGAUAUUACGGGCAGUGAACCAGAUGGUCGGGCACACUGACAAGCUACCAAGUCACCCAGCCUGUCCAGCCAAUCCAUCAAAUUCAAAGAUCUCACCAGUGAUCUCCUGGUCUCUUCGAGGUCUGAUGAUACCGGUGGUAGACGGAGGUUUGGUGGACACGAGACGAGCCUGUGGAGACUUCCCUCGUACUGGACUCUCCUGGAUCCUU